rnacentral:rRNA from 1 species
AGAGUUUGAUCCUGGCUCAGGAUGAACGCUAGCGAUAGGCUUAACACAUGCAAGUCGAGGGGCAGCAUGGUCUUAGCUUGCUAAGACUGAUGGCGACCGGCGCACGGGUGCGUAACGCGUAUGCAACUUGCCUCACAGAGGGGGAUAACCCGUCGAAAGACGGACUAAUACCGCGUACACUCCACCUUGGGCAUCCAGGGUAGAGGAAAUGAAUUUCGCUGUGAGAUAGGCAUGCGUCCCAUUAGCUAGUUGGUGAGGUAACGGCUCACCAAGGCGACGAUGGGUAGGGGAACUGAGAGGUUGAACCCCCACACUGGUACUGAGACACGGACCAGACUCCUACGGGAGGCAGCAGUGAGGAAUAUUGGUCAAUGGGCGAGAGCCUGAACCAGCCAAGUCGCGUGAAGGAUGACUGUCUUAUGGAUUGUAAACUUCUUUUGUAGGGGAAUAAAGAGGGGCACGCGUGCCUCAGUGAAUGUACCCUACGAAUAAGCAUCGGCUAACUCCGUGCCAGCAGCCGCGGUAAUACGGAGGAUGCGUUCGUUAUCCGGAUUUAUUGGGUUUAAAGGGUGCGUAGGCGGCCUGUUAAGUCAGCGGUGAAAUCUAGGAGCUUAACUCCUAAAUUGCCAUUGAUACUGGCGGGCUUGAGUGUAGAUGAGGUAGGCGGAAUGCGUGGUGUAGCGGUGGAAUGCAUAGAUAUCACGCAGAACUCCGAUUGCGAAGGCAGCUUACUGAGGUACAACUGACGCUGAAGCACGAAAGCGUGGGUAUCAAACAGGAUUAGAUACCCUGGUAGUCCACGCAGUAAACGAUGAUAACUGGGCGUAUGCGAUAUACAGUAUGCUCCUAAGCGAAAGCGUUAAGUUAUCCACCUGGGGAGUACGCCGGCAACGGUGAAACUCAAAGGAAUUGACGGGGGCCCGCACAAGCGGAGGAACAUGUGGUUUAAUUCGAUGAUACGCGAGGAACCUUACCCGGGAUUGAAAUGUAGACGACCGCCGGUGAAAGUCGGCUUUCCUUCGGGACGUCUAUGUAGGUGCUGCAUGGUUGUCGUCAGCUCGUGCCGUGAGGUGUCGGCUUAAGUGCCAUAACGAGCGCAACCCCUGUCUACGGUUGCCAUCAGGUAAUGCUGGGAACUCCGUAGAGACUGCCGUCGUAAGGCGUGAGGAAGGUGGGGAUGACGUCAAAUCAGCACGG